UAUAUAUUGGUGUGAAUUGCAUAAAAAGUUUUGAUCUUUUAGGGAAUGGUGGAAGUCCGUUAUAUAU
rnacentral:tRNA from 1 species